rnacentral:misc_RNA from 1 species
UUGGGCUGGAGGCUCAAUCGCUAUAAUAAUCUUUGGAUUGGGUCCAAGCUCGCAGGUAUAAAUUUUCCCUCGGAUAUCUGUGGCGUAAAGUUGACCCUUGUAGAACAUAAUGUCAACAAAAGAUAGCUCCUCUUGAUCUUGUAAAACUAUCCAUUCUCCAUCUCCUGGUCUCCAGAAGGCUAGUUUUCGUUCUGAAUCUAUGCCAAAAAUUAACAAAACAAUGCAAUUUGGGUCUGAAGGACUUAGUGAUAUAAUGCAUCUCUUUAUGAAACCCCGGAUUCUUUGGCACUGGAAAGUAGGGAAUUUACUUGCUGAUGGAAGAAAGAU